rnacentral:rRNA from 1 species
AUACGUAGGUGGCAAGCGUUGUCCGGAAUUAUUGGGCGUAAAGCGCAUGUAGGCGGUUUGGUAAGUCGGUCGUGAAAAUGCGGUGCUUAACGCCGUAUGGCGAUUGAAACUGCUGAACUUGAGUGCAGGAGAGGAAAGGGGAACUCCCAGUGUAGCGGUGAAAUGCGUAGAUAUUGGGAAGAACACCGGUGGCGAAGGCGCCUGUCUGGACGGUGUUGGACGCUAAGAGGGGAAAGCCAGGGUAGCGAACGGGAUGAGAUGCCCCGGUGGUCCGGGCCGUAACCGAUGGGUACUAGGUGUGGGAGGUAUCGACUCCUUCCGUGCCGGAGUUAACGCAAUAAGUACCCCGCCUGGGGAGUACGGCCGCAAGGCUUAAACUCAAAUGAAUUGACGGGG